GAUGAAGAACGUAGCGAAAUGCGAUAAGUAAUGUGAAUUGCAGAAUUCAGUGAAUCAUCGAAUCUUUGAACGCACCUUGCGCCCUUUGGCUAUUCCGAAGGGCAUGCCUGUUUGAGUAUCAUGAACACCUCAACUCUCAUGGUUUGCCAUGAUGAGCUUGGACUUUGGGGGUAUUGCCGGCCUAUGGGUCGGCUCCUCUCAAAUUAAUCAGCUUGCCAGUGUUUGGUGGCAUCACAGGUGUGAUAACUAUCUACGCUUGUGGUUUUCCAUCAGGUAACCUUCAGUGAUGGAGGUUCGCUGGGGCUCAUAAAUGUCUCUCCUCAGUGAGGACAGCUUUUUUGAACGUUUGAUCUCAAAUCAGGUAGGACUACCCGCUGAACUUAAGCAUAUCAAUAAGCGGAGGA
rnacentral:misc_RNA from 1 species